AUGGGCUGCUGCGGUGGGGGCGCCAUGUCAUCGUCGUCGUCGUCGAGGCCGAGGGGCGGCAUCCGGGAGGAGACGCUGCUCCGCGUCCCGGGCGCGGCGGUGCACCUCGUGGCCGGUUCCGAGGGGCCCCUCGAGCUCGGCCGCGGCGAACUCUCCGUCGUGAGGAUCUUCAAGGACGACGUGGCCGUGACCACCGUGGUGCGCGUCGGCCGCGACCUUGGCUGGCCGCUGGCGAGGGACGAGCCUGUGGUCAAGCUCGACCGCCUGCACUACCUCUUCACGCUGCCGGACAAGGACGGCGGGCUCCUCAACUACGGCGUCUCCUUCGCCGACGCCGCGCUGCUGCCGUCCUUCGACUCGCUCCUCAAGUCCAACUCCUGCUUCUCCACGCCCUCGGCGCCGUCGAGGGGCUCGAGGCCGCCGCCGCCGGCGUCGGCGUCGCCCGACGCGUACUGGAACGACUUCUCGUCGAAGGUGGAGAGCUACAACAACGUGCUCGCCAAGGCCAUCGGCGCGGGCACCGGUCACCUCGUCAAAGGCAUCUUCAUGUGCAGCGAGGCCUACGCCAGCCAGGUUCAAAAGGGAGCCAACCUGAUAAACCCUCAAGCAGCCGGCGGCGCGAGCAAACGCUUCGGCGGCGCCGGUGGAGCUGACGGGAGCAGCCAGGCAGGUCCGGCGAAGCGUGGAGGAGUCAACAAGAGCCUCAAGAGGGUGCGGAAGCUGUCGGAGAUGACGGAGAAGAUGAGCAAGACGAUGCUGGACACGGUCAUCUCGGUGACGGGGUCCAUGGCCGCGCCGCUGCUUCGCUCCAACCAAGGGAAAGCCCUCCUCUCCACCGUCCCCGGGGAGGUCGUUAUCGCCUCUCUCGACGCCAUCAAUAAAGUUAUGGACGCGGUAGAGGCUGCCGAGAGGAGGUCGCUUGCUGCAACCUCCAACGUUGUUUCUGGUGCAGUGUCCAAGAGGUAUGGAGAGAGCGCAGGGGAGGCGACCGGAGACGCGUUCGCGACGGUCGGGCACACCGUCGGGACGGCGUGGAACAUCUUCAAGAUACGCAAGGCCGUCACGCCGUCGUCCUCCCUUCCGGGGAACAUGGUCAAGAGCGCCGUCAGGAACAGAAACUGA
rnacentral:rRNA from 1 species